rnacentral:lncRNA from 1 species
GACCAUGAGGAUCAAAAACAGAAAAAAAAUCCUGCAGUGUUUGUUCCUUUGUUCCUUGAUCUAUAUUGUAUAUACGAAUUGCAAUUUUGCUAGUAGUGAUGAUACAAAGACACGGGAGCUUUAUAUAUAUCAAUAUAUCAAACAAGUAAGUUAAAAACAUUCACAAACAGGGAAAACGAUGACCAAAACAAAAACAAGGAAAUGGAAAACAAUAUUCCACAAAACACAAACAAGUAGAGAUCAAGCAACAUAGAUCCACUUACAAAAUGGAUGUUACUUGUGUUAUUGGUGUUAUUGGUGUUAUGGAUAUACCAGUCUUUUGUCCAUUUAAUAUAUACUCUAGUCAUUACUAUUCAAGAGGUUGAAAUUCAAAGUCAGCAAGACUUGUUUUUGUACAUAUUAUGUUAUUUUUUUUUUAUGUAAUUGACAAAUUUAGACGGAACAUUCUUAGAAUGAUUUAUUAUGGAUGGUAGGCCGUGUCAAUGCCAAAAUUAUCUUCUCGUUUUUCUUGUAUUCACAUCAUUGAAAAGAUAGGGGUCCAUUAAACAUCUGUCGAAUUCGUGAUGAAAUUCAACGUUUUAUUUUAUGUUUGGGGUAUAUUGAAUAUGAACAGUUUUGGGGUAUCCAAAAAACGGUCGAAAACACUUGUAGUUAUUUAUCAUUGUGUGUUCAUUACAAAUACCUAUGACUGUAAAAAUGCAUAGAAGAAACAUAUCUUAACGUUAAUCUAAAAUACCAUGGUAAUACUAAUAACCUAAAUGUUAAAAAAUGGAUUUUAAGUUAUUGUUAAGGGAAAAAAUUCCGGCCAUCUCAGAUAACAUUUUUUUUCAAACUUUUCUAACAAAAAAUACGUUUAGUUCCUGAAAAAAAAAUGCUUAAACAUAUAUUGGUUAUAAAUCUUGAGAGUCGAACACUUUUAUCGAACUUCAUUGUUUGAAAUUUUGAAAAUCUAUGAACAAAUUGGCUUACAAGGCACAAGAAAAAAAAGGAAAAUUUUGGGACUCAUUUCUUCAGUUGUACAAACUGUCUGCAUUCUUUUUAUGUGCAUAGGUCAAAAGUGUACUGUUUCAAUGACGAAUCAACAUAGCACAAUUAUGUUUUGUUUUAUACCCACAGACUACAAAAUGCCCCUGUCAUCAAUAGCAGACGCUAUUUGAAUUCAUUGUUUUGACAUUCUGUCACAAUCUAUGUACUAUCGUUGUGCUAAUUUAGAUUUUCUAUUUACCGGAUUGAAAUUAAAUGUAUUUACAAAAAAAAUACCGUUUACAAAGCUGCAAUUCAGAAAUAUAUCAAUAUUUUUGGGAAAAGACGGUAAAAAAUAACAGUAAAAAUGAUAAUAAACACUAAAAGACUCAUCAGUGACACUCGAAUUAUAAAACAAAAAAUAAAAAGUACAAAAGUAGAGACUAUUAAAGAUCAAAAUUUCACAAAGGCUUUGCAAAAUACAACUAACAAAUGAUAACAUUGUCAACAUUGCUUUGAAAAUAAUAAACCUUAUUUCUAAACUUGCUAUCUUCAUACAAUUAUCUGAGUUAACAAUGUGUUUCCACUCAAUUAACAACAAUAUACUAGCAUAAAUAUUUCAACUUCAGGCGAUCAAUUUGUUUAUUACAAACAUUUGUAUUAGCUCUUUUAAAAUGAUACUGAUACCUGAAAUAUAUGCGAUCAUUAUUUUUGCUUUAUUUUUCAGGAUGGGUUUAUGGACUCAGUCCUCGGAGAUUAUAAACCAGAAAAAAGACGUCUAUUGCAUACGUACUGUAAGAUAGAUCAUAUCAGACAUGUAUUAGAAUGUAACAAACAAAUAACCAAAAUCGAUCGCAUUAACUUAUAUAUUGAUAUCAAAACGUAUAAUCCCUCUUAUUAUAACCUUUAUAAUGUUUCAUCCAGAAAAAAAACAACAUGUGAACAGUGGAA